rnacentral:lncRNA from 12 species
AUUUUAUCAGUCACACAGUGGGACUGAAUGGGCCAGCAGCAGAUGAUAUCUUCCUGGAGGGAGGAUGGGCUGUGGGAAAGAUAAAGAUGAUUGCCCCAGCUGGUUUAAAGCUGGCCCAUUAGCAGAUAAUAUGUGCCAGGAGAUCAGGGUCACUGCCCCAGCUGGCUUGAGCAGUUGGUGAUAGAAUACACAUUUCUGGUCACAUCCUGUAUUGCAGCCCAAGACACUGUGGGACCCCAGUGGUCUCAGGCUGGCUGGGGAAGGCAAAUCUUCCCUUGCAGAGCGAGUUCUUGUUGUGCUGCUCCUCCUGUUUCCAUCUCCACAUCACCAUGACACGCUGGCUGUGUUUUCCUCAGUAUUUAUGGCCUGGCCAGGGAGGGAUGCAGCAGAUCCAGCUGGGUUGUUAAUGACCCCUGCAUGGAGCAGCAGAACCCACUUAGCGGUCUCGGCCCAGGGGUUUUACUGCAGCCUCAUCUCGUCCCCUUGGAGAGGCAUGGGAAGGGCUGCCUGCACCAUUCCUCGCUCACUGAGGGUUUGUGUGCCACGGGGAGGCGGGGGAAGGAGCCUGUGGAAAGUUUAGGGGGGGGGAGAGGGAGAAUGCAAACCAUAUGUUUCGCCCAGGGUCGAGUUGCAGAGCUGAAAGCAGCAGGGAAGCCAAAGGAGCCGGGAUCCUGCAGUUUGGCUGGGCUUUGCAUCCCGGGGACCACGGUGUGUGAGCAGAGAUGGGGCACCUGGAAAUAAAGGAAGGACUGAGGAAAAUGCUGGAAAAACCUUUGGCAAGGUGAGGGGAGUGCUGAGGGCUGCUCUCAGGGCAUGGCAAAAGGCACUUUUUGUUGGCAGGUGACCUUUAUUUGAAGGAAAUGAUCCUUUGCUAAUGAUGUUUGAGACGUUAGGGGAAGAGCAUCAUCCCACACCUGGGUCAGCAGGGAGAAGCUUCCUCCCUAAUUCCUUCCUCUUCCUCUUAAUGCAGGGCAGGAGAAAGGCUUGGAAAAGCUGGGAGAGCUUCUCAAGGAGCUGGUGGAAAUGAGGACCUGGAGCUAGGAAGGCUGAAGUGUGUUUUCUACCAGCACCAGGAUGUUUAUUCCAUAUAAUGCAGAGAGAUGGCAUCUCUUUUAAUUAAAAAAAAAAAAAAAGAAAACCCCCCCC